GCGGCGUGCCUAAUACAUGCAAGUCGAACGAGUUCUGAUUAUUGAAAGGUGCUUGCAUCUUGAUUUUAAUUUUGAACGAGUGGCGGACGGGUGAGUAACACGUGGGUAACCUGCCCUUAAGUGGGGGAUAACAUUUGGAAACAGAUGCUAAUACCGCAUAAAUCCAAGAACCGCAUGGUUCUUGGCUGAAAGAUGGCGUAAGCUAUCGCUUUUGGAUGGACCCGCGGCGUAUUAGCUAGUUGGUGAGGUAACGGCUCACCAAGGCAAUGAUACGUAGCCGAACUGAGAGGUUGAUCGGCCACAUUGGGACUGAGACACGGCCCAAACUCCUACGGGAGGCAGCAGUAGGGAAUCUUCCACAAUGGACGCAAGUCUGAUGGAGCAACGCCGCGUGAGUGAAGAAGGCUUUCGGGUCGUAAAACUCUGUUGUUGGAGAAGAAUGGUCGGCAGAGUAACUGUUGUCGGCGUGACGGUAUCCAACCAGAAAGCCACGGCUAACUACGUGCCAGCAGCCGCGGUAAUACGUAGGUGGCAAGCGUUAUCCGGAUUUAUUGGGCGUAAAGCGAGCGCAGGCGGUUUUUUAAGUCUGAUGUGAAAGCCCUCGGCUUAACCGAGGAAGUGCAUCGGAAACUGGGAAACUUGAGUGCAGAAGAGGACAGUGGAACUCCAUGUGUAGCGGUGAAAUGCGUAGAUAUAUGGAAGAACACCAGUGGCGAAGGCGGCUGUCUGGUCUGUAACUGACGCUGAGGCUCGAAAGCAUGGGUAGCGAACAGGAUUAGAUACCCUGGUAGUCCAUGCCGUAAACGAUGAAUGCUAGGUGUUGGAGGGUUUCCGCCCUUCAGUGCCGCAGCUAACGCAUUAAGCAUUCCGCCUGGGGAGUACGACCGCAAGGUUGAAACUCAAAGGAAUUGACGGGGGCCCGCACAAGCGGUGGAGCAUGUGGUUUAAUUCGAAGCAACGCGAAGAACCUUACCAGGUCUUGACAUCUUUUGAUCACCUGAGAGAUCAGGUUUCCCCUUCGGGGGCAAAAUGACAGGUGGUGCAUGGUUGUCGUCAGCUCGUGUCGUGAGAUGUUGGGUUAAGUCCCGCAACGAGCGCAACCCUUAUGACUAGUUGCCAGCAUUUAGUUGGGCACUCUAGUAAGACUGCCGGUGACAAACCGGAGGAAGGUGGGGAUGACGUCAAAUCAUCAUGCCCCUUAUGACCUGGGCUACACACGUGCUACAAUGGAUGGUACAACGAGUUGCGAGACCGCGAGGUCAAGCUAAUCUCUUAAAGCCAUUCUCAGUUCGGACUGUAGGCUGCAACUCGCCUACACGAAGUCGGAAUCGCUAGUAAUCGCGGAUCAGCACGCCGCGGUGAAUACGUUCCCGGGCCUUGUACACACCGCCCGUCACACCAUGAGAGUUUGUAACACCCGAAGCCGGUGGCGUAACCCUUUUAGGGAGCGAGCCGUCUAAGGUGGGACAAAUGAUUAGGGUGA
rnacentral:rRNA from 1 species